CACACAGACACAUACUCACAUGCACUCUGACACGCACACACACACACACACACACUGGGACACGAGCAGCUGAUAAGCUUAUCAGCUCAGCUGAAGCGAAUCGUACAGCCCAGGGCGCCAAAGAGUUGCACAGGUGACGUCUUCGUCAAAAGCGGAGAGAAUACAUACAUCACCUUGUGUGUAUGUAGAUGGGUGGUACCCUUUCCAGGGGGCGCACUAUAGCUCGGUGCAGGCGUAUGCAAUGAACAGAAGACUGCAAAUAUGUGGCGGGUACUAUUUUAGGUUCUUCAAAUUAAGAUCGAUGGAUCGAAUAAAUUUGUAUCUAGUAAGUUCAACUAACUGCAAGGGUAUCUGAAGCUUCGGCCUUCGUAAGCAGACUUUCUUUCUCGUCUAGUCUAUUGAUUUUGUGAUUUGGCAACCGGUUUGGAGACGACAGCCACCCAUAAGAUGGAGCAGAGUGCCAAAGUGGAGGAGGGGACGAAGACUGCGACGAGUUCAAUGAGCAAGCCCCCAUAAGGCACUUGAGCCUACACUGGACACAACACUUUUGAGAGUCUCAAGAGAGGAGACUUUCUAAAAAUAGUUAACUACCCUAACCAUAAAUAUAGGUACAACUGUGUAUGAAUCUAAACAUAUAUGAAUCUGUAUAGACUCCAAAAACCUAAAUUAAUAAUCGUAAAUCUGCUAUAAUGUAUCCAAUAACAAAAGUUCUGAUCUAUUCUUUGAUUCAAUCAUUACUAAAAUCAUACAAAUAAAUUCAAUAAAUAUUCAACAAUAAUCAACUACACCCAGAUACAAAAUUAUGCCAAUAGGAAUAGACCAAUUACCUAUAAAUUAAAUAUAUUUACUCUAUUCUAUUUCACUUCAGAAACUGUUUUAAUUUUAUUUAACUUCUCUAAGUUUGGCUUCAAAUAUGGGUGUUUAUUAUUACUUUGCAAUUUUUCUCUGAGUGUAUCAAUAUUGCAAUCAACUUUAUACGAAUGCUCGAUAGAUAAGAUAUUAAUAAUAAGUAAAAUAAACAAAAAUUCAAAUCAAAUAUGUACAUACUUCUGCAUAAUUGCAAAAUGCUCAAUUAAAGUAAUCUCUUUUUUGUUUGUUAAUUGCACUGGAAUAAUUACAAUUGGUUGAUCCUUUGGCUUUUGUUAAUUUAGAACCAUUUUUUAAUGGGGAAUUUAUUUGUUGAAAUCUGUCAAAAUCUGUCUUUCGAAUAUAACAUUUACUGAAUAUACAUUUGGUGUAGAUAGCUAGACAGAUUAAUAUUAUUCUUUGGUGCUGGCGAACCUAAUUCUGAUCUUCUUCCACUCUUAACUUUUUGAAAAAACCUAAUACGAGUAUAAUGCAUAACCUAAAGUGCCGUUACCAAUCUAAAAACUAAAGCAGUUCCCUAGUAUAUGAGUGUUAUUUGAGAAAAAGAAGAAUCCUAUGCUAUCCACCCAAGGGUAAAUGUUAUAUGUCACAAAAGAAUUUAUAGCCAGCCGAAAGCCCCAGCAUAAGUUUUAUACUAAACUAUUUUUUAAAGUGUACAAUUAAAUAAAUAUUCUUC